UAGACAGAUUAUUGUAUUCGACUGUAUUCACGGCGUGAAACAGGGGAUUACAUUAUUUUUAAACGGAAAGUGAAUCAAUUAACAUAAUAGACUCCU
rnacentral:pre_miRNA from 1 species